GCUSCUACCGAUUGRAUGDYCCGGUGAGCUCUUCGGACUGACUGGGUCCUUCUGGCAACAGAAGCCCGUGUCGGGAAGUUGCGCUAACCUUAUCAUUUAGAGGAAGGAGAAGUCGUAACAAGGUUUCCGUAGGUGAACCUGCGGAAGGAUCAUUA
rnacentral:rRNA from 1 species